UAGUAAUGGCAGGUCAGCAUACUGCCGUGAAUACGUUCCCGGGCCUUGUACACACCGCCCGUCACACCAUGAGAGUUGGAAAUACCCGAAGCCUGUGAGCUAACUUAAAGAGGCAGCAGUCGAAGGUAGAGCCAAUGAUUGGGGUGAAGUCGUAACAAGGUAGC
rnacentral:rRNA from 1 species